rnacentral:rRNA from 1 species
GUGUCAGCCGCCGCGGUAAUACGGAGGGGGUUAGCGUUGUUCGGAAUUACUGGGCGUAAAGCGCGCGUAGGCGGAUCAGAAAGUUAGGGGUGAAAUCCCAGGGCUCAACCCUGGAACUGCCUCUAAAACUCCUGGUCUUGAGGUCGAGAGAGGUGAGUGGAAUUCCGAGUGUAGAGGUGAAAUUCGUAGAUAUUCGGAGGAACACCAGUGGCGAAGGCGACUCACUGGCUCGAUACUGACGCUGAGGUGCGAAAGCGUGGGGAGCAAACAGGAUUAGAAACCCGCGUAGUCC